rnacentral:lncRNA from 1 species
UGGGAAAAACUGUACCAAAUGUCUAUGACCGAGGGAUGGAGCGACGAGACGACUGUGGACAUUCUUAAGGAAACAAUACUUUUUCAAGCCUCCAGCAAGUGUUAUGGGCCAGUGGCAGAAAAUCUUGAUGUUAAAUUCGAACAAGUUCUUCCACUGAGCCAAGAAAGUACCGAACACUCUGUAGAAGCUGUUCUCAGACAGCACAAAGAUUUCCCAGAUGCAGGGAAACUGAUGGUGAUGGCGAUUAUGCAUGGCAGUUUUUCGGUGGGUCCCACUGGAACGGACUACGAAGAUGAUUAUCCCAUGGAGUGAAAUAAUUGUUAUAAGGUAUGGGUUUAUUUGACUUGUGUAGUAUUUUCAAGAGUCUCUUUAAUUGCGAGGGGGUGUAGUAUUUUCUGGAAUUCUCGAACUCUGGAAUUUUGAAGUGGAUAUACGAGAUUGAUUAGAUUAAAAACAUGAUCAUGGUAAAAAAAGGCUCAACGAAACGGAAAGAGCAAUUCUCAUGUUCUUGAUUGUAGCUGUCAAAAUUGCUGUUGCUGGGUACUAGAUGUGUAAGCUUGUAUGGAUAGCAUGAAACGGAAAACAAUUUUUAAUAUGUCGUUUAAGUCGAAGUUUCUGUACCUGAGAAAUGCUAUACUGCAUCGAGAUACAAGUUGUAUGAUAGAUAUAUUUAUUCUCUAACCAACUGUAAGUAGGAGAAUUGGUAUUAUCUAAUACUGAGUAUUAUGUGUGACAUCUUGUUAUUUACUUUGCCGGGUGAAAUUUUGUAAGCCAAAAGGCGAAUAAUUCAUCAACCGUAAACGUGCAGAAAUUAGUUACCUAAAAGAGGAUUUUGUGCACAAAUUGAUGAUAAUUUGUCAGUGGUAAGUUAUGUGUAUUAAUAUUUAUAAAUCAUAAUGAAUAAACAGUCCAACCAACCAUAGUUAAAAUUUAAAACAUAGAUUGAUAUUAUGAAUGACACACAAUCUUUGAUCCAAUAUUGAUAUUGACAAUUAUAUAAAUAAAUAAAUAUUCAUAAGUCCCAUAUAAAAAGAAAAUAAGCAGAAUAGGAUUUCCCAUAUUUUUCAGUGGAAUUAAAUUAAAUGUGUGCUUGUGGAAUGUGUUGUGCCAUUGUGUGUGUGACUGUGUUUUUCGUGCACCAAGUGACAUGGCACUUUAAUUGGCUGAGAAUGGAUUACAUUUAGCAACAAAACUCCAAAUCAGAAUUCCCAAUGCCACAUGGCCAAAUGAAGACCUAGACUUCUCUUUAAACAAAAAUCUGGAGGGAAAUCUUGAUCCACCAAAACCAACCAAUCAGCUAAUGCUGACGUGUAGAUAUUGCAAUCCACAACAUAAUCCCAACUUCUAUUUAUACCCUCUUUGCACCACCCUUAUUCCUCACCACCAUCGAGCACAACAAACAAAAUCAAUUAGCAACAAAAAGAAAAAAAAAAACAAAAAAAAAAAAUGGCAACUUCAGCAAUUCAACAAUCUGCAUUCAGUGGGAAGACUGCUUUGAAGCCACAAAAUGAGCUGAUCAGGAAGAUCGGCAACGUCGGCGGCGGCCGCUUCACCAUGAGACGUACCGUCAAGAGCGCCCCUCAGAGCAUAUGGUAUAAUUUCCGCAAUUCGGUAAAUUUAUUAUUAAUUAAUUAUAUAUCUCAAUUUAUCGAAAAUAGGUACAGUUUCAAAAAUAUGGUUUGAUUUAGUGUAACAUGUAAAAUUUAUGUGUUUCAUCUAAUAAUAAUAAUGUGUAAUUUACUAUAAUUUUUAUUAUAUAUCUUGAUGAUUUAGGUACGGAGAAGACAGGCCCAAGUACUUGGGCCCAUUCUCCGAGCAGACCCCAUCGUACCUCACCGGUGAAUUCCCCGGUGACUACGGAUGGGACACUGCUGGGCUCUCGGCAGAUCCCGAGACAUUCGCCAAGAACCGUGAGCUGGAGGUGAUCCACAGUAGGUGGGCCAUGCUCGGCGCUCUGGGAUGCGUCUUCCCAGAGGUUCUAUCAAAGAACGGUGUCAAAUUUGGAGAGGCAGUGUGGUUCAAGGCCGGGUCACAGAUCUUCUCCGAAGGUGGGCUCGACUAUUUGGGAAACCCUAACCUCGUCCACGCACAGAGCAUUUUGGCCAUAUGGGCCACCCAAGUUGUGCUAAUGGGCUUUGUUGAGGGUUACAGAGUUGGAGGGGGCCCACUAGGAGAGGGGCUCGACAAGGUGUACCCGGGCGGGUCUUUUGACCCGUUGGGUCUAGCCGAGGACCCGGAAGCCUUUGCUGAGUUGAAGGUUAAGGAACUCAAGAACGGGAGAUUGGCUAUGUUUUCCAUGUUUGGGUUCUUUGUCCAAGCGAUUGUCACCGGAAAGGGUCCGAUUGAGAACCUUUUUGACCAUCUUGCCGACCCCGUUGCAAACAAUGCUUGGGCCUUCGCCACUAACUUUGUGCCCGGAAAAUGAGAGUGAACACAAGAUUUGCUUUUGAUGAAGUUGUAAAGUGUGGGAUUUAAUUUGCUUUUGAUGUAAUAGUGGAAUGGUUGGACUUUCAAUUUAAUGUAUAUUUGGCAUCUUUUUUCCUUACAUCUUGUUGCACGGUUUAUUCUAUGCUACACCGGGUAGAU